AUUUAAGUAGUUUAUAUAAAAUAUAAAGUUGUGGUCUUUGUGAAGUUUUAACCUUAAAUC
rnacentral:tRNA from 1 species